CCCAAAAAAAACAAGAUAAACAUCCGAAUGAAACACAAAACAAAAACAACAUUGAUGAUAAAACAAACAAUCUAAGAAUCCAACUUGAGAUAGUCAGCAAUGCGGAAAUUCUGACGACAAUGAAACCAACAGUGGCGCGAUGCAGUUAAUACCUUUGUACUCUCAGGAUAUGUGAACCAGAGAGCAGUGAACUCCUUUGGGAAAGUACCAUGAACUCUUGGCCGCUUCGGAAUGUAGAUCGGAUCCUGUGAGCUUUCUUUGUUCUGGUACCUGAAUAUGUUGCACCAGUAGCUUACCGGGAAUGCCGUCUCUGUGGACUGAAUAUUGAUUUUCCUGUAUUGCGAUGUGCUUCUAGGAACGGCACGUACAUAUGUGCAUGGGUGUAAAUACAGAUACACAUGCAGA